GGGACACCCUCACACCUCCAGUACUCCAUAAUGGCGCUGUUCGCUCGUUCGACAGCGAAUAAAUCAUUAUUUCGGAUUAAUUUUGGUAAUAGUUUGCCCCCUCAUCAAUGCAAACGGUCAAAAUUAUCAUCAGUCUUGGACAAUUCCUGUUUUCUGAGGAAAUCUCGGAAUUUUACAACCAGUAGUAUUCGAUCGGCCAUUCCAACCUCAAAACUUCAUAGUAAACAAGAGAGAAGCGAGGAUGACCUGGAACCAUCGGCGGGAGUAUUCGAUAGACUCUUGUGGACACGUAGAAGGGAAGCCAAGAGGACUGUCCUCAUUCAGGUCCAGUCAUCAGAUUCUUACAAAGAUUUGUAUUCGUACUGCUCUCAAUUUGGUACCAUCAACACCAUGCAUCAUUAUGUUCUCUCCAAAAACAUCCAUUUUUUUCUAGUCGAAUUCAAAGACCUAGAGACCCACAAGGCAGUACUCUCAGCUACCACAUACAUCAACCAUCAGGAUUCCAUUCCCACGCACUCAUCCAUGCUGUGGUUCAGAAACGUCCCCAAGAAAUCCAAGAAAAUGGCGAUCGACGUACCACCACUGGAUAUCGCCACUGAAGACAAAUACAGUGAUGGGAAUAUUCAGCGAGAACUUAUUUCCACGCCUUCUAUGUCCAAACAAAUGGAUCUUCUCCACAAUAUGAUGAAGCUCGAUGACGUCUCCACGCGCCUGAGAUUCAUGACAGCUCUUCAACUGGAGACGAGUUUGUCAAAUUUAUUUCCAAACAUAAUUGUUCUGCCAUUCGGCUCAUCCGUCAAUGGAUUCGGUAAACGUGGCUGUGAUCUGGACCUCGUUUUGACCCUAGACCGCGAAAGAAGGGAGAAAACAGCUAGUAGAUUGGUUUUCCAAACGAAAUCGGCCGUCUCUGAUGAACGAAUGCAGACAAAAAAAUCGAUGGAAGUCAUCUCCAACAUCAUGCUGUCCUUUAUACCUGGUAUUAGGAAUGUCAGGAGGAUUUUGCAUGCUCGGGUGCCAAUUAUCAAGUACGAUCACGCUUUGACGGGUCUCGAGUGCGACCUCAGCAUGACGAACAUGUCUGCUAUCUAUAUGUCAGAGCUGCUGUAUAUUUUCGGAGAACUUGACGCCCGAGUGAGGCCUCUGAUUUUCACAAUUAGACAGUGGGCGACUUCCGUGGGAAUCACCAAUGCCACACCCGGAGCAUGGAUAACAAAUUUUUCCCUCACGUUACUGGUUAUUUUCUUCCUCCAACAGAAGGAGAUUCUACCGUCAAUUCAUACGAUGAGGAAUCUUGCGAGGCCGUCAGAUAUUCGUCUGACCGAGACUUGUGUCGAUUGUACAUUUGUGAGGGAUCCAAAGAUGAUUCCAUCGUUCGACUCGAAGGACACCCUAGAGUCCUUAUUACGUGAUUUUUACAAUUUCUACUCGGAUUUCGAUUUCUCGACGAAGGCAGUUUGCCUGAGAGCGAGCACGAGUCUGUACAAACCAGACUCAUCUCCGUUAUACAUCUGUAAUCCAUUGGAGAAGACCCUGAAUGUCAGUAAAAACGUAACUUCUGCGGAAGUCAUGAGGUUCAUCAAUGCUGUGAGAAAUGCUGCGAUGUUGUUUGAGGAGGGAUUCGAGACAAACAGCCGAGGUAUUCUGGACAUCUUCGCGGAAAAACAGUCACAGAAAAAACACUUUAUCAUAGGGAGAGGUAAUAGCCAUAAAAAAGUGAAGAUCGCUGAGCUAUUUCGGCCCGAAAAUGUCCAAGAAUUGGGGAGUGAAGCGGUUACCCCUAACCAAAGCAAGAAACAGAGGGCGAGGCCCAGGUGACUCGAUCCAAAGAGGAGCAAGUGAUAAUUUUUGCUCUGUGAGUCAAUUAGCACCAGACGAUUCCCUUCUCUAUAUUGAAUAACUAUUGGAAGGCUCUAAGUGCUUCAUCAAUCGUCACGAAGAAUUCCUCGUAUCUUUAUCCCUCACUUGGCAGCAUUUUUUACACGAUUUGGAACAUGACUUUUCAUGGGGCCGUUAAAUCGUUU